AGGGUUUGAUUAUGGCUCAGGAUGAACGCUGGCGGCGUGCCUAACACAUGCAAGUCGAGCGAGAAGUCAUGGAUGGAAUCUUCGGAGGAAAGAAAUGAUGGAAAGCGGCGGACGGGUGAGUAACGCGUAGGUAACCUGCCCCAUACAGAGGGAUAGCCACUGGAAACGGUGAUUAAUACCUCAUGACACUUUCUCUUCGCAUGGAGGGAAGGUCAAAGAUUUAUCGGUAUGGGAUGGACCUGCGUCUGAUUAGCUUGUUGGUGGGGUAACGGCCUACCAAGGCGACGAUCAGUAGCCGACCUGAGAGGGUGAUCGGCCACAUUGGAACUGAGACACGGUCCAA
rnacentral:rRNA from 1 species